UGCUGGAAGUCACCUCUGGAGACCACUGGGUCCAACUGCCCUUCUCAAACAGGGCUAACUAGAGCCAGCUGCCCUGGAGCAUGUCCAGAGAGCUUCUGAGCAUCUAUGACACGGGAUACUUCACCACCUCUUUGCUUCAUUCCAAAAAAGUCAGCACAGAAAUCUACCUCAAGAACUUGAAAAAGAGCAAGAAGAUCUGGAAGCAUGUCAAUGGAUGUGAAAUCCUCUCCAUAUAAGAAGACAGACAAGAAGCGACAAGACCAGGUCAAGCAGAGGCCACAAAAGGGGCCUGGAGCAUCUCCCUCAGGAGGAGAGACUGCAGGAGCUGGGCCUGUUCAGUCUGGAGCAGAGAAGACUGAGAGAUCUCAUUAAUGCAUACAAAUGCCCCAAAGCACCACCUUUGACUAUGGAAAUAGACACCAGAUAUUUGCUGUUUCUUGUACUCAAAAAAAACUAUUUCAAUCAAAACCUGUUAAAGCACAGGAGUUUCUAUCUGCAUCACAAAAGCUAAGCUGGCCACCUCCAGGAGGGCACCGUCAUGUCUAAAGCUACUAACGCUGACAAGUGCAGAACAGCAUCCACAGAAAACACAGACCCCUCUGGGCAGAGCAGAAGACAUCCAAAACCCAACUGGACAUUGGUUUGCAGCUGCCUGCUCUAGGCUGACCCUGCUUUAAACCAAGGAUUGAACUAGAGUAUCUCCUGAAGUGCCUGCCAAUCCAAAUAAUUUCAGUCAUUAAUGUAACUUAAUUACUUAAUUAAUGUUACUUAAUGACUUAAUCUUACUUAAUGUAACUUUGACAGCUUUUAAUAUAAUAAAAAAGCUAAAGUAUGCAGUAAAAGGCUGUUAACCACUAGCAUCAACUCCAGUCAAUGAGAACAGCACUGAACACAAGAAGUGUACAUGUACAUCACAUUGUGUCCUUCUGUUUUCCUGCAACUAGAGAAACAUCUUUUCAGAGGUUUCCAUGUCAUCCUAUUAUUUCACCUGUAAUGACAAACAGUGUUCACUUAUACUAUAUUUCAUUUAAAUUCAAAAGCAUUUGCAGGUACUGGAAUACGUUAUGGUACACCUACACAUCAACUUUUAUCUUCCACAAUUCUGUCAACAGCAACACUGCUUAACAGGCAAGAUAACACAAUGAGAAAAAGCAGAAGGGAACCUUAAGGAAUACCCAAGACCUUAUUUCUCAGACCAAGGUGCUUUUAGUAAUUUUUUGUUUUAUUGUUUUUUAUUUUUAGCUAAGUCUCCAACUAGCAUUGUGAUAUAAUGGACAUGAAUGUUGGGAUAGAAAGAUAAUAUAUCAUCCAUGCAUCCUGUGGAUGGACUGAUACCUUUAAAAUGACCCUUAGAGAAAACAAAGGAUAUACUUGUAUUACACCAUUAACCAGCAUAAAUGGAUAAAGAAUUAAACACAAAGGUCCAGAAAAAAAACCAAAAAAACUAUCUGGCAAACCAGCAUUUAACUUCUAAAAUCAGCUCCUCAAUACUGCUGCUUAUGAACUCAUUAUAUUACAGCUAUUUGCAUAGUUUUCCACUUAACAUGGAAUCUAUUCUUCAGUUUAUCAGAUGAAAUCCAUUUUAGAAUAUGGAUCAGAACAACAGGGUUCUCAAGAGUACAUAAUGCAUUCAACUUAUGCUCAGGAGAAUACCCUACACUUUCCUAAAAAGUCCCACUUUCUCCUCAAGUUUAAAGAUCUGCCACUGUUACCAGCAUAAAUUGGUAAGCAAAUAC